rnacentral:rRNA from 1 species
AUUGAACGCUGGCGGCAGGCCUAACACAUGCAAGUCGAACGAGUGGCGGACGGGUGAGUAUUGUCUGGGAAACUGCCCGAUGGAGGGGGAUAACUACUGUAAACGGUAGCUAAUACCGCAUACCAUCGGAUGUGCCCCGAUGGGUUUAGCUAGUAGGGGGGGUAACGGCUCACCUGGGCGACGAUCCCUAGCUGGGCUGAGAGGAUGACCAGCCACACUGGAACUGAGACACGGUCCAGACUCCUACGGAAGGCAGCAGUGGCGAAUAUUGCACAAUGGGCGCAAGCCUGAUGCAGCAAUGCCGCGGGUAUGAAGAAGGCCUUCGGGUUGUAAAGUACUUUCAGCGAGGAGGCGUUACUCGCAGAAGAAGCACCGGCUAACUCCGUGCCAGCAGCCGCGGUAAUUC